UCAAAUUCACAAACAACACUCCCUCCGAUUGCCCUGCACCUAGCGAAUAUUUGACUAGGAGAGGACAGAGCUUUGGACCGUAGUGCAUCAGAUCUCCGCGUGGUGCAGACAAGUCGGGGGAAGCGAGCCCGAUUAAGCCCCUGGGAAGCCCUUAAGAAUCUUGACUUGCAACUUGCAAGGAGUGGGGCGUGGCUUCUUUUACGAAGGUUCUUAGAACAUCGACUAGUUAGACCAUCUAAUCUGUGAUUGAUACCAGCAACCAGUAGUAAGUAACAGGGACCCUUUGCCUGAGAGAGCAUUGGUUCUUGCUCACAUCUGUAGCAAGAAUACAUUGAAUUAUGAUUGCAAUGAAUAUUACAAUGAAGAAGUAUCAUCAGAAUAAGAGAUGUUAAAAGAACUUUCUGGUGUUCAGGACUAGGCAGGAAAGAUAUGUGAAAAAAAGCAGCAUCCAAGUAUCAUCCAUUAGUCAUAUACAAAGCAGGUCAAAGGUACUUACAUUAAUGUAUCUCAAAUGAUUGCCUGUGUUGGCCAGCAAGCCUUGAUUGGCAAAGGAAUGGCUAAUGGUGUGGACGUUCAUAAUUUGCCCCUACAUUGCUAGAUCACACUGCCAAGGGUUUUAUUUCUUACAGUUUUUAUUUUGAAGUGAUGCCCAUAGAUAUCUUUCUCCGUAAUAUGAGUGGAUGUGAGGGUUUGUCGGAGACUACCAAUACUGGAUACAUGCAGCGACGAUUUGUGUAAUCCGUGGAAGAUAUUCAUUACCAAUUAUGAUUCGACAGCUGCCCUAAGAGCGCCACCACUUUGUUGAAGCCCAGCCUUAGCACCUUGAUCCUUCAAGUUGAGUUAAUCUGAUUCGAGUCCCAGACAUUCUACUGAUAAAAUGAUAUAGCUUAUUCAUGUAGGAGAUGGUUUGGACCAGACCAUCAUGAAAGCCACUGAUUGCCUAAAGGAUUUUCGGGUAGCUCUUGAUGACAUUACAGCUACCUCUCCCUAUGCCCAUGAAGAUCUGUUAAAUCAAGCUAAAUACAAUUAUGGAUAGUUUUCCUCAAAUCGAUUUGGAUCGACUCCAAUCAUGAACUUAGAUGAAGUCACACGAAUCCGGAGGAUACGGGCAGAUUAAAUUGGAUAUGAACAUAGUCCGCUUGCUGAAACUAGGAGUGGAUGCAUAUUCUUUAUAGUGGAGCGUUCAGCCUCUGUACACGUAAGCUGAAAAUAAGCCAAGUUUCAUCGAAGUCGUUGAUGAAACCUCUCUAGGUAAAAUUCUCUUUGUGCCAUCAACGCCAGAUGGCUACCUAUGUUAGUCACCUUGCUUUUCCCUGUAAUGGUUCACCUUGCUUUUUUCCCGGCAGUUGCUUUGGUGUCGUGGAUCAGCGUUUUAAGCUGGUUUUCUCUUGCUUGUUGUUGCUAUGAUAUAGCUUUUGUGAAGUGUGGAGGACAGUUAGUCGCUUAACGUGAAAGCGUAUGGCUUCUUGCCUGCUUUUUUUUUGGUGAAGGAGUCAGGAUAGUGAUUGAUUUAUCUAGAAAAGACCUCAGCAAAAAAAAAAAUUGGUUCUCUGGCCACAUGUAAGCCAUGACGGUAAAGUUUGAAAACAAUUUAUUUCCGGUUAUUACGUUGUGUUCUAUUCCUGAACGAAGAAAAACAAAGCUUUGGUAGAGGUCAUGUACGUUUACGUUAUGCAUAGAUUGCAUUGCAGGUAAUGUACAUCAACGUUAUACGUAGAUGGUGCUGGACGUAAUGUUCAUUUUACUUAGGCUGCGGUAGAGGAAAAGUACGUUCGUUCCAAAUAGAUGGCGUUAGAGCUAAUGGAAGUUUUAGCGCGCAACUAGAUGGCGUUAAGGAAUGUAGUUUCCUUCACGUAAAUAGAUGGUGUUGGAGAAGUUGUAGUUGCCAUUGCGCAACAUAGAUGGCGGUUGGACAAAACGUAGUUUUCAUCACGCAACACUGAAGGCACUGGAUAAAAUGUAGUUUUCAUCGCGCAACAUAGAUGGAUGUGAGAGGUACACUGGCGAUGGCUUUCUUUGUUCAGAACUCAAUAUAGGGAAGGAUAAAUCUCCAGCAAGAGCUAAAAUAUUUACGGUUGACGUAAACCCCCAGGCACCGCAUUGAUAAAUGUUUCACUUUUCUUCUACCAGAUGCCAGCCUUACUAUUUGCGGCGCUUGUGUAUGGCAAUCCGUUUUACCCCCCAAAAAAAAAUAUCGGCCUUUUUUUUCUGUUUCACUGCUAUCGCCAUCUACCGGUCGGUAGAUGGCGAAAGCAACCGAAACAAAUGCCAGCAGAAAGCAAAUAAAUGCCAAAGGUGAGACAUGCUGGAAAGGCUUGAUAUGAAUGUGUAGGCGUAGUUUUGGAAUUCAGAGGUGCUAGCUGGCUGUUUGGAUUGCGCCAUCCAGGCAAUGUGGAUAUUCUGCCAUGUACAUGAUAAACCUAGGAUUCUUCGUCAACAUGCAAGAUGUUACCCCCCUGCAAAUUACUGUUGACAGAAAAGCUGAUACAUUGGGACUAUGGUUACAGCAAGUGUGUUGAAUAAAUCACCAUAGAUCAGCUGCCUUGCCUUCCCAAUUGCAACAAAGACGAAUCAUGGAGUCAAAAACAUUAAAAGAACAUGCUGGGAUUCAUGUCAUCAUGGAGAUGACUUUAAAAAAAAAGAGCUGUAUCCAUGCAGCUCAUUAGUCAUGUCCCAAAUGAAUGCCUGUGUCAGCCUGCAAUCAUUCAAUGGCUAACAGCAUUUAAUGGUUUUGAAAAUCGCGGUUUGCACUCCCUAAGGCGACAUUCCUAAAUCCCACCUGUCAAAAGAUUUGAAUGCAACAAUUUUUAUUCUGAACUGAUGCCUACCAAAUUCUUUUUCCAUAAAGUGCGGUGAUAUGAGGUUAUAAUGGAAAUUGCUGUCAAGACUGCCGA